AAGAUGAAGAACUCUCACGUGGAGAAUCACAACAGGAUCGUGGAUCUGCAGUCCGAGCUGAUGAGGUUACAGGAGCAUUCACACCAACUCCUUCUGAGGUAUGACCGGCACUGCAUCAGUCCUCAGAGUCUCUACAGUCGAGAUCCUCCGAACCACCCCUCCCUGCAGAGUGAGAUGCA